AAAGAGUAUCUAUUUCUUAUAAAAAAAUUUGAAGUGGCCUAAGGCCAGUAUUAUUGAUGAUAAAAAGAAUGCAAAAUAAUGGGCCAAAUAGGCCAAACAAAAUCUGGUCCAUGUCCUAAUGACCCAAUACAAAAAAAUAACAAAUAUCUGCACCAAGAAUAGGAAAUAAACAAAAGGCAAUAAAACAAAAAAGGAAAAGGCAAUCCCAAAUGCUCAAAUCUUAUGGAGAGCAGUAGAAGAGACAAAAGUUCAAGCUUUGAACUUGCUCCAACAAACUGCAACUAGUCUGAUCUUUAUUUCAUCUCCAUGGAUUUUGCAUUUGAGUAACUUGCUUCUUAAAAAAACAAACCUUCCACAAAUUAUCUGCUGCUUCUGGACUACAAGAAAAUUUGGAGAAAAUUCCAUUUUAUAUAAUAGGGGUAUCUCUGAUAGUGAAGGCAGAGAUAUUAUAAAGCUUGGCUAUGUAGAAGGCACACUCCCAUUCAGAUACUUGUGUGUACCCUUGUUUACUAGGAAGCUUAACAUCAGCCAAUGCUUACCACUGGUGGAAAAGAUAACUACAAGAAUUACUGGUUGGUCUGUACGGAUGCGGUCAUAUGCUGGCAGAGCACAUCUUAUUAAGGUUGUACUCUUUGGUAUGAAAACUUACUGGGCAUAAAUAUUUAUCCUUCUAAAGAAGGUUAUGAAUAUGACUGAGACUGUAUGAAGAUCUUUUCUUUAGAUAGGAUAUAAAUAGGUAUAAAAAAGACUCUACAUCUUGGGAGAAGGUGUGCUACCCAAGAGCUGCUGAAGGAUUGAAUAUUAUUAACAUAAAGUUGUGGAAUAAGGAAGAAAUCAUAAAACAACUUUGGAUAUUUCUCUCAAGAAGGACACAUUGUGGAUAAAAUGGAUACACUGCUACUACAUCAAGAAUAAAGAUUUAUCAGCUAUGGAACUACCUAAAAUAAUAGCUUGGGUAGUCAAGAAGAUAUUAGGGUGUCGAGAUACUAUCAUGAAAGAAAGUUCACUCCAUGGAGACCUCAGUCACAUAUUAGCUAUGUGUCAAAGAGGUGACAAAUAUCAGAUAAGAAAGAUGCAUUACAGCCUCUUACCACAACUGUCAAAAGUCUCAUGAAAGAACAUUAUAUUCCAGCCACAGGUGAACCCAAGACACUAUUUAAACAUCUGGCUAGCAGUCCAACAAUGACUUGCAACUGUGGAGAGAUUACAUAAAACUGGCAUCUGAGUACGAAUAGAAUGAGUGCUCUGUAAUGAUGAGAUAGAAAGCUUCGCACCUAUACUUUGAUUGUGUACACACCAAGAGAUUGUGGAGAAAGUUAUUAACAUGGCUAGGAUUUACCAAGACUAUAGAAAAAUGGACAGUAGAGGUGCAAUAGAUAAACCAACUAGCUAAACAGAAAAUUGGGGUUGCAUCAAUUACAUGUCGUGCUUUCGCCAUGGUGGUCUAUUGCAUUUGGCGUGAAAGAAACUCUAUUAGAUUCCAAAGAGGUCGAUUCCUGAUGGAUGCAGUAUGCAGAGAAAUUGUGAUACAUAUGCACAUACUAUGAAGAGGGAUUACUAAGUGGCAGCCACAACUACAGAGACUGAACUAUUUUCCUUAGUACUGUCUAGGAGUGGAAUUGAGACUAAAGUUGAAAUUGUAUUCUUGUUUUAAUUGUUAGUUGUUAGCUCUUUUGAUAGUUAGAGAGGCAGGGGUCGGCCUAUGCCUGGUUAUGUAAUGAAUACUUUUUUAUUAAUAAAAUUUUUCUGUUAAUCCAAAAAAA